UGUAAACAGAUGUUUGCUGAGAAAGCGCCCACAUCCCCAAACGUGCUCCUUGAAAUUAGUGCGUGACCACUUUGGGACGAACACGGCGUCUCGUCGCGCGCUGUCGGAUCCGCCACAGUAUUUAGUCCGUGUUUGCCAGGUUUGCCAGGUAGUGUAUCACACACGGCCUGUAGGAUACUUCUGCUAUCUGCCUCCAACCAGCCAAUCAGUGAGCUACUUUGCCUGGGGUUAUCAACUAUUCAGAUUGCCUGAAAGUCUGAAAUGUAAUUCCCCCUUCAAGCCUUGGUGUUUGGUUUGUCCCCCAUGGCAAUAUGGAGGUGUAACAUGGCGGACCACAUCGAUGUAAAGACAGGCUCUUCUCAGAUUGAAGAAAGAAAAUAAGGAUCUCUUCAAGGAAAUCCAGGGUGUGUCUUUUUGUCUUACAGGAACAGCGUGCAGGCUUAGUGGCAUCUUGCUGUGAGGUUGCAGAACAACUGACCACAGUUCCCAUCAUAAAGGAUGGUGGUGAUGAAACUUACAAAAAAUGAACCCCUUUCUCUGCAGGUUUGAAAACACAGCCCUGGACCACGACCUCUUCCUCUUGUACGUCUGCGGCAUUGUGUCUUUAGUGAGGACUGCAUAGGGACCUGAAAGGCAUGAGGAUGUGAGGUUAAAACACACAGACACAGAGAAAAAGAGAGAACAGAAAGCACAGCAACAAUCACUGCAGCUGCUGCCUAGAGAGCUCAGCAUGGAGGACGCGUCGCUCAUCCCAACGGCCUCCAAGGAGGAAAAGUACUGGCUGGACGGAGGCUGAAUUGGGAGGUGGAGGCCUGACUGACGGUUGGAGCUAACGAUGGAGUCCUCAGAGGAGCUGUAGAAAUAAUGGCAGGUGGGAUUACAGCCAGUGCCAGCGCCUCCUCCUGUCUCUGUGAGUCCUCCAGACCUCAAUCUGUCCUCAACUGAGGAUAAUCUCACAGUCAAAGUUAAAGUUUAAGAAGUUGGACUCUUUUUUUAUGCAGUCACUCAGAAACAAAAUACUGUCCUUGUCAGGAGAAAUAGUCACCUCAUCAUUAAGGGAUGUUCAUGACCAUGUUUUCCAAGAUUGUUGCCUUCUCAAAGAAUAGCACCAGGACAACACAAAACUCAGCAGUGGAAUGUUGCUAAGGACAUUAACUCAAUCCUGCUGAGAUACUUGUCCUUGAGGAUGUCUAUUUGUCACUUCUUUACACUUCAGAUCCACUACAUAUUAAAGGAGAAUACUUUUUUCAUUCCACAGAAUGUAUUUGACGUGUUAGUAAUUUGGAAUUAACAUUUUUAAAAUUUACAAACACAACUUGCAUUUCUGAAGGUUAUUUUCUUCCAUGCUUACCUGUUUAACAUCAAGUGUACUUUGAUAGAGAUAAUGGUUUAAAGUCCAAGGGGCUAAAAAAAGUCCAAGCAGUAAAGAAAUGAAUACAAACUUGCAUAGCAGAACUUUAAUAUAUUUCAUUUUCCCAACACAUUAUCUCUCAACCCUGCAGGUUCAUGUUAAGAACCACUGCAGAAGCCUUGCCUUCACUUUGGGAACCACUGGACUCAGCCACGCACAGUAACUGUAGACAGAGUAGUCAGAAGUUUCACUAUCUGAAACAGUUCAGUGCUCCACACAGUUUGCAUUGCAGAGGUGUAACAUUAUAACAGUGAACAAGAACUGAUAUUAAUAUUUAUAAUUUAACUAUCACUAGAUUAUCUAUGUUAGUGAAAUCUUGUAGGGCUUUGACUUGUAAUGGGGUAUCAUUUUGUAAUGCAACAUAACGUAACGGAAUGAAGCAUCAGAAAACAUAUCGUAUAUAACGUAUCGUAACUUAUUGUAACAAAUCAUAACAUAUCGUAACAUAUGUAAUGUAACAUUGUAACACAACAUAUGGUAACAACAUAUUGUAACAUAUGGUAAUGAAACAUAUAACACAACAUAUCGUAACGCAACAUAUCGUAACACAACAUAUCAUAGGGCUAAAUAUCGUAGCGCAAAAUACCAUAACGCGAAAUAUCAUAAUGCACAAUAUUGAAACGCAACAUAUCAUAACGCAACAUAUCUUAACACAACAUAUCUUAACUCAAUAUAUCUAACCCAAUAUAUCGUAACGCAACAUAUCGUAACUCAAUAUAUCUAACCCUAUAUAUCGUAACGCGAUAUAUCGUAACGCAACAUAUCGUAACUCAAUAUAUCUAACCCAAUAUAUCGUAACGCAACAUAUCGUAAUGCAACAUAUCGUAACCCAAUAUAUCGUAACCCAACAUAUCGUAACGCAACAUAUUGUAACGCAACAUAUUGUAACGCAACAUAUUGUAACGCAACAUAUCGUAACACAACAUAUCGUUCACAACACAUCCUAACACAACAUAUCGUUCACAACUCAUCCUAACACAACAUAUCGUAACGCAACAUAUCGUUCACAACACAUCCUAACACAACAUAUCGUAACGCAACAUAUCGUAACACAACAUAUCGUAACGCAACAUAUCGUAACGCAACACAUCCUAACACAACAUAUCGUAACGCAACAUAUCGUUCACAACACAUCCUAACACAACAUAUCGUAACGCAACAUAUCGUAACACAACAUAUCGUUCACAACAUAUCGUAACGCAACAUAUCGUUCACAACAUAUCGUAACGCAACAUAUUGUUCACAACAUAUCGUAACGCAACAUAUCGUAACGAAACAUAUCGUAACGCAAAAUAUCGUAACGCAACAUAUCGUAACGCAACAUAUCGUAACGCAACAUAUCGUAACGCAACAUAUCGUAACCGAACAUAUCGUAACCGAACAUAUCGUAACGCAACAUAUCAGAACCCAACAUAUCGUAACCCAACAUAUCGUAACCCAGCAUAUCGUAACACGACACAUCGUAACGCAACACAUCGUAACACAACACAUCGUAAUGCAACACAUUGUAACGCAACAUAUCAUAAUGUAACAUGUAAUGUAUCAUUUUAUAAUGUAACAUGUUGUAAUGCAACAUAACAUAGCAUUACUUGACAUGACAACACGCCACAUCACAUUACGUAAUGUAACGUCAUAUAACAUAACGUACUGUAUUGUUUAAUACUGUAUCAUAUUGUAUCACACAGUAAUGUAUGUAACAUGAUGUAACAUACCUUAACGUAUCUUAACUUAUCUUUAGAUGCAUUGGAGCAUAGUGUUGUAUCUUAUUGGAUCAUAUCUUGUCUUAUUGUGUUGUAUUGUGCCUUAUCGCGUCAUAUCACAUCGUAUUGUAUCCUUUCAUAAAUUGCUGCAUUGCACCUUGGAAUGGAGGGCUUUUACUUGUAAUGAAGCAUGUAACAUUGUUUCAUAUACAUUUACUCAAAAUAAAUCUUUUUUUUUUAUUGACAA